GAGAAUAAGGUGGUCGAGCCCGCUAAUACGGUGAGUUAUGCAGUUAAGGUGAGCCUUGAGGUCCGGGAGGAGCUGGAGAGAGCGAGGUCGAGGCACAAUUCAGCGGUCACGCCGUUGCCCACCACUUGGUCGAAACCGGAUGUUGGUUGGACGAAAGUGAAUGUGGAUGCGGGUGUUCUGGGAGAUACUGGCACAGGUAUUGGCAUGGUGAUGAGGGACAGUGAAGGAGUGAUCGUGGCUUGCUCUUCAUGGCAGGGUACGGAGAAGUGGGAAACUAGGGUGGCGGAAGCCAAGGCCGUGGCUAUGGGCCUGCAGCUAGCUCAGGAGAUGGGAGUAAGGGAUGUGGAAAUGGAAAGUGAUUGUCUGAUGGUAAUACAAGCGUUGCGUGGUGGCUCUCAAGGAAACAACAGCUUUUCUCUAGUGAUAGAUAAUAUCCUUGAUUUAUGCUCUAGCUUUGAUAAUGUUAAAUGGUCUUUUGUCAAACGUAGUGGUAAUCGGGUAGCUCACAAUUUAGCUCAUUUUCAACCAUGGAAUUUUGGGCAGCGAGUGUGGGUUAACGAUGUACCGAAUGAUGUGUUGAAUGUUGAUUUUUUUGACCUAUUAAUAUAAUUCCCCUCUAAGGGUUCCCUCAAAAAAAAAUAAAAAAAAAAUAACGCUAGACUGCUGGAGUAACCUAAGGUCCUAAACCUAAUUCAUUUUGCCUUUCCGCCGUUCUGGCUCUUCUCCUCUCACUGUGUUUCUCUCUCAAAAAUCUUUCACUCUUCGAAUUUUCUCAAUCGAGGACGCCGGGCCGCCGCUCCUUCUCUCCAAUCUCCAUCUCCAUCAUCUUCUCUCAUACUUAACGAGUUCGCCCGACCGCCGCUCCUCCUCUCCAUCUCCAUCAUCUGAGUUUGUCGAAGUUUUCCAAGCACUAUAUAUGGAAUUUUCAAGUAGUGGGGAAAUGCAUGAUUCGUCUUCCACAAGUCAUGCUCCUCCAAACGCGAAUUUGGUGAGGAUGGUGUUUCUGUACCAGAAUUUCAAAGAGCAAGCUUGAAAUGUCUAAAGCUUUUGCCUUGCCUACGUGGCAAAUUAUAUAUGUAAUAUUGGUUAAUUGAGAACAUUUUAUUUUAUCUUGUGUAAUUAUGUGGAUUAUUUGUUGUUUAUGUAGUUGAUAAUUAGUUAAUCGUGACUCGUGAGCGUUGAAUACUUUAUAACAUAUGAUCGUAUAUUUUUCGGUCAUUAGAGCCUUAUGAGGCAUAAAAUCAGCUAUGUAAUAUGGACUUAUCAGCUAUGGAAUAUGUACUUAUGCAA